UGUGUCCUUAUGAGAUAACUUUUCCUUUGAGAUGUCAUCAGCUGUCUUCAAGCCUGGUUCACUUCUGCUGGAACUUGCCCUAGUUGGAGAAAAGAGGGAUGUCAGAACUGGUUCCUUCUCUGAUGUGAAGCUUUACUAAAUG